rnacentral:lncRNA from 1 species
AAAAUAUUUGUAUCCUGACGCAAAUGAUUGUUUUCCUUUGGUUAGCCUUGAAGUGUAUGUUUUGAACGAUGAAUGCAAGAAUAAAGUUAGUACAAAUUGCGAUGCUGAUCUGCAAACAAAUGAAAUUUUGUCCCAAUUCCAAUUUGUCCCGUUCGACCGAGGAAAGCUAAGUAAAAGUUGAUGCGAUCGAGUGAACCAAUGGCUCGACUUGAGGACAAGUCGUUCUAAAGAAGGGGGGAUGAUACGACCCUACCCCAAAAACAUCCUUGGUUCAGUUCAUCAGGCGACAAUCGCAAAUUCUUGCAAGUUGAUCGAGAUUGUUUCAGUUCAAUGGAGCUCAAAUUCGAUCUAAUUUCAGCUCAUUAAAUUUGAACUUCAAUUUAUUUUAACUUAUGCUUUUAAAUAGUUGCUGGAAUAAAUUAAGUUCAUUAGUUAGUUUAUUAAUUUCAGCAUGCACAUGAUUUAAUUUGGGUCUAAUAAUUUUUAUAUUAAAUUUGCUUUAUUUAGUAUAUGAUUUAAUUAUGUUUUCAAUUAGUACACA